GAGACAGAUUCUGCAAAUCUGGGAUAGAGCGAGUCCAGAGACAGAUUCUGCAAAUCUGGGAUAGCGUGGGUAAAGAGACAAAGAAAGUUUACUGGCCCAGAAUAUACGGAAUAUCCAGAAUCUCUUCAAGGUUUGCAAUGACCAGAUGAUUCUGAAAUUGUCAAAGACCAAUGGAUUACAGGGAUCAGAAUAGAUAAUUAUCUAAAAACCCUGGAAAUGGCACGAUUGAAGGGAUCAGAAUAUGCAGAAUCUAGAAUCACCAAUGAAUAAGGAUUAUACUGUCCAGAAUAUACUGGAACCUAGAAUUCCAAAGAGGAAAUUCACAGAGAGCAGAAUAUAACAAUAGACAAGCAUGGUUUAAAGGUAGCAGAAUAUCCAGAAUAAUCAAAGUAAGGAUCGAAGGCACUAGAAUAUUCUGAAAUCGAGUCAUUACAAAGAAAUAGCAAACAUUACAGGGAGCAAAAUGCAGUGAAAUCUAGAUUCUACAGCAUAAUAAUUAUAUUGACAGACAGAUGGAUAGAUAGACAGAUAGUGUGGCGAAACCGACCUCGCCACUGGGCAUUGGAGGGGCCUGUUUGCCAGUCUCAUGCCCUGCGACCAUGGCCCUGGGAUGUAUUGCCCUUUAAAGACAUGAUUUGUGCAUAAUGGAUUUGUGUUGUGCUGCUGCUGGCCCUUUAAGAACCAUCUGGGGACAUACUGUGGAGUUACUGGGUGGCCACCAUUUCCUGUAUCAGAAGCACAUGGUGAGAACAAUGGAUG